CUUUGGUGAAACAGUAACAAUGCAGAAUAACGUGCAACAGCUACAAAGCAGAAGGUCGAAGGGUUGAACCACAGGGCAGCCUGUCACUUCAAUCGCCCGCCACUGCUCCGAUGAGAUUCUGCAGCUCUUGUCUGUCGAAGUGAAGCAUCUCAUAACAUGAGGGGAGGACCUGGCAUUGUCAGAACUCUAGACUACAGACCUCCUGCACUGCGUGUAUUUAUCACUGGAAUGCCAUGCAUGUGAAUGCAGACCAAACUUUGUCUGAUAAGGAAGAAACAAGAUCUGCGGAGGACAAUCGACAAAGCUGUAACCUUGAAAGGGUGCCCCUUGGCAUAAACUGCGGGUGCACUGAUCCACUCACUACACUGGAGAGUGAUCACUCACAUUGUAACACCCCCCCAACCCCCACUGUGAUUAACCACAUGCUGAGUUCACAAUCUCUAUUGGGCCAUUGAAGGAGGUCAUAGCAAAGGUGCAGCCUCCUGCCGGAGAAAAGAGGUGGAGGCCAUGAAAUGGUAGCAUGCCGACUGAUGCCUUGCCACUUUUAGUCAGCUCAUUCAAGAAUGGCAGAAGCAAGGGCAGUGGCCUGAAAACCAGUUGCUUGCUCUGUUGCUAUGUGGCAGGGAGUGACCUAAAUAAAUGAGGAAGGCGAUUUACAAAAAGCGGGGAAGAAGUUAUAACCUUGAAAAUAUUCCUUUCACCAGAUCCUUGAGGGUUAAAUGUAUUCCACGCAUUACAAAUGCACCAUGUUAAUUUUGAGCGAUCAGCAUAAGAUGACAGAUGCACAAUUCAUUUUAUGAUAUGAUUCUUUGCACUUCAAACCCUCCAAAUAGAGUGUUAGUAAACUGGAAAGCAAUCAGAAGUUCUUCCUUCACCAGACCAUGUAUAAAAACCUUAUUGAUAUUAUUCUUGAAACUUAAGCAGAGAAAUUUUCUGUAUCAGAAACAACACAGAAAAAAGCAUACAAUGAAUAAUGUCUUAUCUGUCUUCAGUUGUCAGCCUAAAACUCUCAUACAGAAUUUAAUAAAUCUAAUUUUGAAUGCAUGCCAGAAUGCACCAAGCCUACCCUUGGUUUAGUUUAAAAGGGUCAAAAUAUUUCCACAUUGGUAGCGCACACAUUAAUCAUAUGUCCAGUGGAUUUUGAAAAUUGGAAGAGACAAGUCCAAGCAAAAUUUUAAAUUAAUUGGGUCUACCCCAGCAUUCAGGGUCACCUUGUGUCAGUUGUCCCACAUUUUCCAGGUCAUGGGGUUCCUAUUCAUUGUACAGCUGGCAUGAAGAGAGAUAUGUGCUGUGGGCAAAGAAAGGUGAAAGAACUCUACUCUGAAAGUGUGAAUUUUCCUACAGGCAAUAACAACAAUUGCUGCUGCAGAUUGUCGUUAGACACUAACCACUUAAAUAAUGCAUGCUCUGCUGAGGACUCUGUUUGGUGCAUUUUCUAAUCAAGUAGUCAAGCGAUUUUGUAAACACUCUGUUGUUUACCAUAGGUUCACUGGGCUGAUUAUGACUUACAUAUAAUUAGUACUGCUGCUAUUCAUAAUUGUUCAUUCUAGAUCAGAAAUUUCUCCAAAGUAACAAUCUUAUUGUGGAAAGUUGCCAUUGAUUAUA